rnacentral:tRNA from 1 species
GGGCGCGUGGUGGAACGGCAGACACAGCGGCCUUAAAAGCCGCGGGCGGGCGACCGCCGUGCGGGUUCGAGUCCCGCCGCGCCCA